rnacentral:rRNA from 1 species
UGUGCUAAGGUAGCAUAAUCAUUAGUCUUUUAAUUAAAGGCUCGUAUGAAAGGUUGCACAAUUUAAUUUCUUUAUUAAAUUUAAAAACCAAAAUUAUUUUAAUCAUAAAAAAAUGAUUAUAAAUAUAUUAGACGACAAGACCCUAUUGAACUUUACUUCAGUUUAGCUGGGGCAGCUAUCUAAAAAACAUUUUAGAAAACCUCAUUAACUAAAGAUCCAAUACAAUUGGUUAUUUGACCAACGUUACCAUAGGGAUAACAGCGUAAUUUCUUUUUAAAGCUCUGAUUAAAUAAGAAGAUUGCGACCUCGAUGUUGAAUUAAUUUAACUUUUACGCAAAAGUAAAAAAAGUAGGUCUGUUCGACCUUUAAUAAAUUACAUGAUUUGAGUUCAAAUCGGUGCAAACCAGAUUGGUUUCUAUCUAUAAAUAUUAUUUAUCUAGUACGAAAGGACCAAUAAAUAUAUUAAUAAU